rnacentral:lncRNA from 1 species
GCACGCGUAUGGUACUCUUGGUGGGAUUCUAAUCAUCGAAAAAUAAUGAGUGCCUGACGCUCAUUUGUGAGACGCGCAGCCAUCCUGCACCAUGCAUGUAAGCACCUCCUUCGUCGCAACAUGCAUCAUACUAAUGUUCAUGAUGUCAGAGGUGAGCUCAAUGGGAUCCCCUCAGCUCUCAAAAGAGAGCAAAAGCAAUAAAUUUGGUUGGAUACAGUCCAUGAAGUACAGCCUCAAGCGUAGCGGUCCGUCAAAAAGUUUUCUGGAGACACUCACCAACUAUUUCAGUUCUUCGAAGAAGGUGCCUCUUUCGCCGGCGGACAGCGUGACACUGGACCCCGCGGACAAAGAUCUCCUACAACGGGCCGGGAUCAUACCCACAAUAGGAGACUGGCUCUCUUCUGUUGGUCCAUCCAUCAUCGGAAAUAUCAAAUAUUUGGCCCAACGCGUGAAGGUGUCACUCGAGGCCCUGCCUGGAGAUGCACCGGUGCCGAUGAGCAACACGGUUAUCAUCGAAGCGAUGAGCCUGACCAAGGAGCAGAUCGACGAGCUGGAGGAGGACACCCGGUCCAACGGUGAGCGACUCCGGGCGGAGCUGCGGACUCGGCUGACGCCUGACCUCUUCGGGCCGAUCUGCCUGUACUCCGCCCCAGAGGCGCUCGGGAUCUUCCUCACGUCGCCGCGCCUGCCCCCGGACCUCUCGCAAAAGGCUUGGCCCCUGCAUGCCCUCUCCAAGGUCACGAACAAGGUCGUCACCAUGUCCGGCCUCGUCGUCGAUAGGGAUCGCGGAUACCUGGCCGCGCUCCCCGACGGCGUCGUCCAGACAGACGAUGCCAUUGUCAAGGUCCACGUCUUACAACGACCACGAAGGAACGGACGCCUAGAAGCCAUCGCAGGUGAUGCGGUAUCAAAGAGCAGUACGAUAUUUUACGAAAUUCAGGGGCUUCUGAACAUCACGAAACGCAGAGAAUGUAUCCUUAUCAUUGUCACCCGGAGACACAUAAGGUACGUCACCGUCCAGAGAGACGAGGAGUUCUGGAUUAAGAACAUGUUGGAUAAGAUCGUGAAUUUCUACGAGACGACACUACUACCCAAACUGUCGGAAGAAAUGUUUCCUCAUAUGCAUAAUGUACGAUCUGCAGCAAAACUUAUUUACACUGUCUUGAGCGCGUUGGAUAAUAAGAGAGUUCGGGAAAUUUAUCGUGACACGAAAGGUUCAGGUCCAGGUGCCUAUGACGUAUUGAUGACAGAAUCUCGUGUCCGGUUAAUGCCCGAACAUUACUAUCUCGUUAUGGAUCCCGCAAUGCAGAAUACAGAAAGAGUGAGGGAAAUCUUGAAAGGCUAUCCUACGUCCAGAGAAAGCUGGGAUCUCGAGCAGAGUUCCAGAAAGAAGUUCCUCGGAAGUUACCUAGCUGCGAAUCCCGGGUGGGAAAUCGAAGACGGUGGGUUGAUGAUCGAUCGGGCGUUGCCAUACCUGGCGGCGUAUCCUACCGCCUUUGGAGUCCGUAUCCGCCCGACGCCUCAAUUUGGCAAAAUAACCACUCGAUCAAGAAGCACCAGAGGAUUCAAAGUCUACAGCUUGGAAGGUAGGCACUCCCAACCCGAGACACAGCAGCCGCCGCAACCUCGUAGUAAUGGCUCCCGACCCAGGAGCAAUGGAGAAAUGAAAAUCGAUUCUCAGAAACCUGGAAGUUCACCACAACAAUCCAGGAAGAGGAAGAGGCAGAAGGUCAUUUUCGAAGUUGUUAUCCUGAACGGCGCAGAUGAAAAGCAGUUGAAUACGAUCCUAGUUGGUAAAGCAGGAAGAAGGUAAUGAAUACGUAAUUCUUACAAUGAAGAAUUUGCACCCACAAAUUUGAUCAUCGGCGGAUCCAGCAAAUUGGCAACAUCGUUUUUCUCCAUUUAAACCUAUGGAAUUAUAUCGAAUCUCGGAGGGGCCAGGUGCUCCGACAAGAAUCGAUAUUUAACAUAGGUUUGAAUGGAGGGAAUCCGGUGUUGCCAAAUUGCUGGAUCCGCCUCUGAAGUUGAUUGCUUCAUCUGUAAGUGCCUAAUGAGCUGAGUUCGCAGUCUUUUUCAUAAUUUUUUCUGGCAUGGGAAAUUUGAGAAAAAUUCAUUCAAAAGUGGGAAAAUAUGUCGCCUUGUGACGUCAUCUGGCGGCAUUUCCCAUUUAAACACAUAUAUUUUAGCAGAAUCGGUUAUUUUGUCAUAUCUCCUCUAAUAAUUGCUCAAUUUAUGAAUUAAGGGUAUCUUCGCGUGUUCAGUUCACUCAGUAGAUGCCACUUAAACACGAAAUUCAUCAAAUUUCAGACCCUUGCAAAUUCUCCAUUUAACCUAUAUUUUUUUCCAGAAGGAUGUCAAACGUCGCUUUGAGUCCAAUGGCGUGGCGUACUUUCCGAUGUAGGUAUAUCGAUUGAUCUGCCACUGAAACCUAUGAGAAGGGACCCAUAAACAGAAUGUUCGCAACGAACACUUAAAUAAUUGAUCAUUCACGCCUUGCCUCUGUUUGGUUCUGAUCUAAUGUCAUGUUGUAUUUAUUUUCGUGGAGAGACCCCAAAUAGUGCGGUAGGUACAGAAUGCAAGCCUUGUUGGCAUUUACAGUCCAAGGUGCUUGGGCUCACAAAUGAAAUUUCAUAAGAAUAAACUUCACGAAAUAAUAAUCCGUGGGACGGUGAAAUUAUGAAAGCUAAUCAUUUUCCAAAACGUUUGAGACCACAUUCACAAGAAUUGAUGAUAUAAUAAGCUCGUGGCAUAAUACUUACAAUUAGUCUUCGGAUGAGCGUUGUGUUCGUUUGUUGGGGCACAUUUCGACUUUCGAGAUAUUGAAAUUAAAUCGAGAUGUGGCGUCACACUAAAUGCGUCUAUCGCCAUUGAGGUUGGCCGCGGGGCAUGCCCCCCCCCCCCCCCAGUUUCUUAUAAAGUACCUUUAUAGACAGAGUAUGGCCAUUUGUAUCUUUUUACUACAGGAAAACUGUUCCGCUUUUUGAUUGGUCAACGAGUUUUUAGGCUUCAUGAUGAUCUUACGGCCGUAAAUAAACAAACAAGAUGGCGGCUCACCGUAGCAUUGAUAAAAAGCUAAAUUAAAAGCUAAACAAGUCGGUCAUUUUGAGUUCACGAAUGACGUUUCCAAUGCUCAUGCUGGGCAUUGGAUGUUCUCCCAGUAAAGUGUAAAGUCUCCGAAUACGUACUUCACUUCAAAUUAAUUUUUUUAAAUUAUAAGGGUUCGAAAAAAUGAAUGAUCAAUUAGGUAUUCCUUUGUAACCACCACAGUCCUUUUCUUUGAUUAUUGUCCCAGUUUGAUUUUUGUUGCCAUCUUGAAGUUUUGUGACGUCAGGCGGGUACCACUUUUGCCAGCAAAUCUGUUGUAGCGCAUAUUUCAAAUCUUCGCCUGCUCUCAUCAAGAUGAGGACGAGAAGCAUUAUUGUUAUUGUUUGAUAUACAUAAGUGAAAUGACGAUGAGAUAUAAAUUAUCCGUCACAUUCCUUCCCAAAAAUGAGCCUGUUCCAGCUGAAUCUGUUCCAGCUGAAUUUAGUUUUUUAUUUCUGAAUGAUGAAAGAAUCUCAAAGGAUCGAAAUAUGACUAAUUCCUAGCUCUGUAGCUUGCAAGAUAACACCCUUACUUACCUGAGUUAUGAAUUUUUCCAGUAUCGUUGAAAUAUAAGUAGAGUACCUAGUAGCGUCACCCAGUGUCACAGUAUGUCAUAUUUGAUGUAGGUAAUUCUCAUCCAAAUAAGAGAAGAAUAAAUAUUUAAGUACCUUCAUUAACACCAAGUAGACGAAAGUUCCACUGUGAACUUAGUUGGCCAAUAAAAAUGCAAACAAUGAAGCAAUUAUUUUUAUUUCCUGACUCCAAAUGGUAAGAAUUAUGGUAAGAAUUCUAAGGCAUAGUAAAAACUGUAUUUAUCAUUCCUCAAUAAAUACAAGGUUGACUGUUUGCAUGGAAAUGAUAGUACAUUAGUUGGCUUAUCUAUUACUCUAAACUUUAGAUUAAGUUGAUGAAGGUAGCAGGUUGUCGUCAGCAAGAGCUGUUGAUAUGAGUAUGUAGUUUAGAAUGGUCAAUUUUUAAUUCUUCCAGAGGAGCAUCAUUAGUAUUUAAUACAAAACUCUCAGGGGUCUCUGGAUACUAUGCCACCUCUAUCAAGAAUUUUUAUGCUAAUUUUGUUGCUAUAUGGUGAUGGGAGAGAUAAUUUCAAGAUUAUUUUGGUAAAAGUCGGACAAAUAUGAGGAUGCCAAGUUUAUAAGAAAAUCUCACAAACCAAAGUGAAAAUUGUUUCAUGCCUGUGCAAUUAUCAGCUUCGGGCUAGGUUCUCGCAAGAAGGUCAGCACAACGCGCUGAUCAAACUUUUGUGGAAUUUCUUGUUAAUUUUAGAAUGUGUGCCAAAGUCACAGUAAGUAUUCCACAAGAAUUGUAAAUCUGAAAAAUCUAGAAAAAUAACAAGUACCCCUCAGCCUCUGCGCAAUUUGCACCCCUGCUAAUAAAUGUUGGAGAAUAGAGAACACUCUACCCUCAAAACAUUACUCGCACUGAUUUUAAACUAAUAUGUAAUUAUAUGUGUACGAUGGUGGAUCUGAGCUGUACUGACUUACCAAACUUUGUUGAGCGAAGUUGUUACUGAGGGGAAAUUCAUUAACCGCUGCCAAGGAUUCACAAACUCUGACCUUGAUAAAUAUUUCCGACAUAUACUUGAGAUACAGUCAGAUGUUUAGAAUUCUGGACAUUCAGUUAUUGUUCACAUACAAAAGAAAUUGACUAACAAAUACAACCGUUUUAUAUUUACAUAACUGCUCAACAGAACAUACCAACAGUUGUGAUUAGUUUCUCGACAGCACUCUGAUAGCGGUAUGAUAGCUAAAGGAUCCCUACCCUGCGGCAAAAAUGGAGUUGAUUGAAAUUUUGAUUCACAUGGUGCUAAUGCUGUCAAGACUCAAGACAAAAUUACACUCCACGCACAGUCAAAGAGUAUUUUGAUAAGUAAGAUUAUCCAUUAAGGAAGUUGCACAAAUCAAACCGAAGGACACGGACAAACCAAGGAGCCAGCUCAGAAACUCGGCGAUUCAGUUUCUCUCACUGCAAGAGGUGGAACCAUCCAAAGUACCAUCAAUGUUAAGUUGAAGGGGUGAAUUACUUAUUUAAAGUGUGAUAAGUCAUUUUGGGACUUUUUCGAAGAGAUUUAAAGGAAAAAAUUGGAAAAUUUUCAACUAUAAAAUGAAUGUAAACAAUCCGCCAUUGUAUCAAAGCUGACGCACAAAUGAAACAAGCGAUAAACACAAGGGGGAAAAAGUACAUACGUAAAUUGAUUUUGUUUUAUAAGGAAAAUGGUGAAAAAGUUAGGAAAUUCAUAUUGGAAAUUGAAGCUUUAAGAUAUAAAGAACUUCAGAUAAUUAAUACAGUUUAUUUAGAAACGGAGUUAAAGAAGGCAAAGUUAAGGAAACUCAGAAGGAACAGGGUAUUUUGUAGGAAAGGGUUGGUAGGUCUAGAAUUGAAUCGACGUAUCGACAUAUCGAACAGCGACUAUCGACAGUCUCGAAAAACCCGUGUAAAAUACACACUAAUACUAUAAGCGGUUAGGUGAAAUCUUAUGGGAGCGCACUCACACAUACAAAAAAUCGCAUUUUCAAACGAAUUUUUUGCAAGAGAACAAAGGGAAACAUUACUAGCGAUCGAGAUUUUUCGAGAUUUUUACAUUGAUGAAACGGCUAGGGUGAUAGGAAAGUUCUCCCCAGUUGAUCACUGGGAGAACAAUAAAAACGCUAAUUAAAAGCUAAUUAAAAGCUAAAUAAAAAGCUAAAUUUCAAUUAUACGUCAGUAACAAUUUAAACUAGGAUAUCUACGAAUAACACACGAAAACCUUGUUGAAUCGCCUUUCACCUUUAUCACAGGAGGAUGUAAGAUGUGCAUAACCUCAAUCUUGCUUGCUGAUAACAGCCAUCUUGUUUGUUUAUUUACGGCCGUAAAAACAUCGUGUCAGCCUAUUUUCACGCGACCAACGAAAAACCGGAACAGAAAUGGCCAUACUCUGUCUAUAAAGGUACUCAAGUUUCUUAUAACUUUUACCUAUACGAUUUCAACAGGUGGCUGCGGAAAGGCUCGAAGUACUAUUACCGAGUGCAAGGUUCUAUGGCGAUAAGUCGCGUGAAAGAGUGCGUUUUUAUUCUGGCGAAAGAAGGGACGAAUAGUGGUGGUGGAGAAAUCCUACACUCGGAGACCAUCGACGUGGACGUGAAAGCCUGGCAUGACCUGCAACAGCAGCUGGCACAUUUCUAUUUCGGCGUGUAUCUAGUCUACCACGCCAGUCCGAAAUCCUUCGAGCUCCUCGUCCGCAACAAAAAACUCGAUGAACUUUUCCGUGAGGACGAACUUCUCUUUCCCCACAAAGGCGCAAGUCGAAGAUGAUAAAAAGAAAGUUCAAGAUGAUAAGAAGAAAGCUUUGAAACUUACAGCUUCGAAGGGUUAGAGACUAAGGCUAAUGUCUAAUAACUUGUUGAGCCACAAUCAAAAAUUAAAGUAACCUCGUGUCAUCGUUUAUUCUCCUUUUUAAAAUAAACUACCAAAUAUUUAAAAAAUGUUUCAAUUCUCUCUCCCCGAAAUAAAAUGAGAUCACAAAAUAAAAUUACAGUAUACACUGAGAGAAAAAUCUCGGUGUAUUUACUAAGAAAAGGGUAAAAUUACC